UACGUAUGGGGCAAGCGUUAUCCGGAUUUACUGGGUGUAAAGGGAGCGUAGGCGGCCUGGCAAGCCUGAUGUGAAAUACCGGGGCCCAACCCCGGGGCUGCAUUGGGAACUGCCAGGCUGGAGUGCCGGAGAGGCAGGCGGAAUUCCUAGUGUAGCGGUGAAAUGCGUAGAUAUUAGGAGGAACACCAGUGGCGAAGGCGGCCUGCUGGACGGUGACUGACGCUGAGGCUCGAAAGCGAGGGGAGCAAACAGG
rnacentral:rRNA from 1 species